AUGAAGAGAAGCGAGGUCCGUCAC
rnacentral:siRNA from 1 species